UACGGAGGGGGCUAGCGUUGUUCGGAAUUACUGGGCGUAAAGCGCGCGUAGGCGGCUUUGUAAGUUAGAGGUGAAAUCCUGGAGCUCAACUCCAGAACUGCCUUCGGUACUGGGAGUCUCGAGUCCGGGAGAGGUGAGUGGAACUGCGAGUGUAGAGGUGAAAUUCGUAGAUAUUCGCAAGAACACCAGUGGCGAAGGCGGCGCACUGGACCGGUACUGACGCUGAGGUGCGAAAGCGUGGGGAGCAAACAGG
rnacentral:rRNA from 1 species